CCUUUGUGGUAGCAGAGUCAGAGCACAGAGGACAGGACAAUUCCUGGGGGCUUAUAGCAGGACAAAGUGUCUUGCUGGAGGUCUCAGGUGCACCCAAAUUGGAGCUGAGAGAGCCUGAAGAAAAGUGGAACCACCCAGCCAAGCCAAGAAGGGUUACCACUUCUGCUAUGAGAGCAGAUCUCGCACAAACAGAUGGGAAGCAGAAACAAGGGGAGAGGAUUGAAGAUGAACCCACGUUUUAAAAGUCCUUGUCUGCAGGAGGUGGCAUUACCUGUGACCUCACUUCACUUCUUCAUACAUGGCUGUUGUAGCAGGCCUGGAUCCCUGAGACUUACCCACAGAAGCAGACAACUUGAUAACUUGGGAAAAGGCUGGAGAUAUAAUGUGCUGAGUGAACAAAAGCAGAACUGUGAAGACUAAGCCUAGUGGAAACUGAAUUCUUGCUAAGAGAAGACGCCUGAUGAGGGUUGAAAGGGGCCACCAAGUUGCCAGCAUAGUGGGUAAAAAAGACCUACCUGAGGACAUAUUAUGAAAUUUCGGAACACCAGUAACAGGGAAGAUCAUAUAACUAACCUACAAGUAUGAAGAAUCAGAAUGACUUUG